AACAGAGCUAGCUUGCUACCCGCUGACGAGCGGCGGACGGGUGAGUAAUGCAUAGGAAUCUGCCCGAUAGUGGGGGAUAACCUGGGGAAACCCAGGCUAAUACCGCAUACGUCCUACGGGAGAAAGGGGGCUUCGGCUCCCGCUAUUGGAUGAGCCUAUGUCGGAUUAGCUAGUUGGUAAGGUAAUGGCUUACCAAGGCAACGAUCCGUAGCUGGUCUGAGAGGAUGAUCAGCCACAUCGGGACUGAGACACGGCCCGAACUCCUACGGGAGGCAGCAGUGGGGAAUAUUGGACAAUGGGGGCAACCCUGAUCCAGCCAUGCCGCGUGUGUGAAGAAGGCCCUCGGGUUGUAAAGCACUUUCAGCGAGGAAGAACGCCUAUCGGUUAAUACCCGGUAGGAAAGACAUCACUCGCAGAAGAAGCACCGGCUAACUCCGUGCCAGCAGCCGCGGUAAUACGGAGGGUGCAAGCGUUAAUCGGAAUUACUGGGCGUAAAGCGCGCGUAGGUGGCUUGAUAAGCCGGUUGUGAAAGCCCCGGGCUCAACCUGGGAACGGCAUCCGGAACUGUCAGGCUAGAGUGCAGGAGAGGAAGGUAGAAUUCCCGGUGUAGCGGUGAAAUGCGUAGAGAUCGGGAGGAAUACCAGUGGCGAAGGCGGCCUUCUGGACUGACACUGACACUGAGGUGCGAAAGCGUGGGUAGCAAACAGGAUUAGAUACCCUGGUAGUCCACGCCGUAAACGAUGUCGACCAGCCGUUGGGUGCCUAGAGCACUUUGUGGCGAAGUUAACGCGAUAAGUCGA
rnacentral:rRNA from 1 species